rnacentral:rRNA from 1 species
CGGAGGGAUCAUUACUGAGUUUACGCUCUAUAACCCUUUGUGAACAUACCUAUAACUGUUGCUUCGGCGGGUAGGGUCUCCGCGACCCUCCCGGCCUCCCGCCUCCGGGCGGGUCGGCGCCCGCCGGAGGAUAACCAAACUCUGAUUUAACGACGUUUCUUCUGAGUGGUACAAGCAAAUAAUCAAAACUUUUAACAACGGAUCUCUUGGUUCUGGCAUCGAUGAAGAACGCAGCGAAAUGCGAUAAGUAAUGUGAAUUGCAGAAUUCAGUGAAUCAUCGAAUCUUUGAACGCACAUUGCGCCCGCCAGCAUUCUGGCGGGCAUGCCUGUUCGAGCGUCAUUUCAACCCUCAAGCUCUGCUUGGUGUUGGGGCCCUACAGCUGAUGUAGGCCCUCAAAGGUAGUGGCGGACCCUCCCGGAGCCUCCUUUGCGUAGUAACUUUACGUCUCGCACUGGGAUCCGGAGGGACUCUUGCCGUAAAACCCCCCAAUUUUCCAAAGGUUGACCUCGGAUCAGGUAGGAAUACCCGCUGAACUUAAGCAUAUCAAUA